rnacentral:rRNA from 1 species
UACAGAGGGUGCAAGCGUUAAUCGGAAUUACUGGGCGUAAAGCGCGCGUAGGUGGCUAAGUAAGAUGGGUGUGAAAUCCCCGGGCUCAACCUGGGAACUGCAUCCAUAACUGCUUAGCUAGAGUACGGUAGAGGGUAGUGGAAUUUCCUGUGUAGCGGUGAAAUGCGUAGAUAUAGGAAGGAACACCAGUGGCGAAGGCGACUACCUGGACUGAUACUGACACUGAGGUGCGAAAGCGUGGGGAGCAAACAGG